rnacentral:rRNA from 1 species
UACGGGGGGGGGUAAGCGUUGUUCGGAAUUACUGGGCGUAAAGGGCUCGUAGGCGGCCAACUAAGUCAUACGUGAAAUCCCUCAGCUUAACUGGGGAACUGCGUCCGAUACUGGAUGGCUCGAGUUUGGGAGAGGGAUGCGGAAUUCCAGGUGUAGCGGUGAAAUGCGUAGAUAUCUGGAGGAACACCGGUGGCGAAGGCGGCAUCCUGGACCAACACUGACACUGAGGAGCGAAAGCCAGGGGAGCAAACGGGG